rnacentral:rRNA from 1 species
UUCGUAUGGUAGGUUAACUCAAUUUUGGACGUUACAAAAUGAUCGGGGGAAUGUAGCUUCGAUUUUUCGAAGUGUUAAGACCUUGGUAGAUGUGACGACCGGGAUUGAGGAUUGCAACGAAUGCUUUCGGGCUAUCGUCUGACCUCUAGUGGUUGCUUUAGGGUCGAAAGCGUGCUUACGACUUUAAAGUUGGCUUCAAAAGGCUAGAACGUGAUUAAAUUCGUUAAGGAUGUUGACGUAAUGGCUUUAAACGA